rnacentral:misc_RNA from 1 species
UUUCCGUAGGUGAACCUGCGGAAGGAUCAUUAACGAAUAACUAUGGUGUCUUGGUUGUAGCUGGCUCCUCGGAGCAAUGUGCACGCCCGCCAUUUUUAUCUUUCCACCUGUGCACCGACUGUAGGUCUGGAUGACUCUCGUACUCCGGUGCGGAUGCGAGGAUUGCUCUCGGGCUCUCCUCGAAUUUCCAGACUCUACGUCUUUUUACACACCCCAAACAUAUGAUACAGAAUGUAGUCAAUGGGCUUGAUCGCCUAUAAAACACUAUACAACUUUCAGCAACGGAUCUCUUGGCUCUC